rnacentral:rRNA from 1 species
UACGAAGGGGGCUAGCGUUGCUCGGAAUCACUGGGCUUAAAGGGCGCGUAGGCGGGCGAUCAAGUCAGGGGUGAAAUCCUCCGGCUCAACCGGAGAACUGCCUUUGAUACUGGUCAUCUCGAGUGAGGUAGGGGCAUGCGGAACUGAUGGUGGAGCGGUGAAAUGUGUUGAUAUCAUCAGGAACUCCGGUGGCGAAAGCGGCGUGCUGGACCUUUACUGACGCUGAUGCGCGAAAGCCAGGGGAGCGAACGGG